AUUGAACGCUGGCGGCAUGCCUUACACAUGCAAGUCGAACGGCAGCACGGACUUCGGUCUGGUGGCGAGUGGCGAACGGGUGAGUAAUGUAUCGGAACGUACCUUUCAGUGGGGAAUAACGUAGCGAAAGUUACGCUAAUACCGCAUAUUCUGUGAGCAGGAAAGCAGGGGAUCGAAAGACCUUGCGCUGAUUGAGCGGCCGAUAUCAGAUUAGCUAGUUGGUGGGGUAAAGGCCUACCAAGGCGACGAUCUGUAGCGGGUCUGAGAGGAUGAUCCGCCACACUGGAACUGAGACACGGUCCAGACUCCGACGGGAGGCAGCAGUGGGGAAUUUUGGACAAUGGGGGCAACCCUGAUCCAGCCAUGCCGCGUGAGUGAAGAAGGCCUUCGGGUUGUAAAGCUCUUUCGGCCGGGAAGAAAUCGCAUAGGCUAAUACCCUGUGUGGAUGACGGUACCGGAAUAAGAAGCACCGGCUAACUACGUG
rnacentral:rRNA from 1 species